GUGACAUUUAUGUCACUUCUAGGAGUAGUUUUUACAUUAUUUUCAUAGUUAUUUUCAUAAAUUGCUACCUAUUUUAGCCUUUAUUUCUUAUUUUCACAUUUUGUAGCUUAAUUUAUUUAUUUAGUAAUUUUUGUUAGUUUUUAGGUCUUAAUUUCGUAGUUUCUUUCUUUUCUUUGUUUUAUUAAUUUUAUAAAUGAAUUAGUUUAGUUUUUUGUAUUAAUUUUCUAUUUAAUUCCCUUUUAGUCACUCUUAUUUUCCGGUCUCGUGCUUUAUCUUUAUGUGUGUAGGUGAGUGUUUGCGGAACCGGAAGGACGGAAUUUGUGGAGUUAAGUUCAAUUUAAAAGUCCCAAAACUUCAUCCUUCUUCAUGGCUUAUUAUCCUACACCACACCAUGCUUAUUAUCCUACACCACACCAUCUUCCCCAAUAUAUCACACAAAUCCACCACCAUCUUCCAUACCCAAACACCGCAGCACCACCAUCAUCAUGGCCUGCAGCACCGCCAACUUUACCUGCACAAUCUGUCCAAGCCAAAGGGGAGCGGGCGCUCCUCUGUUAAAUGGAGCGGGCGCUCCGUUUGAGUUCACCACAAACAGGGGAGUUCCAGAAUGUUUCGAGCGAGGCACGAGCGAUCUUAGAGCGGGCGCUCAAAGAAAAACGUGCUCAAUACUCAUUAAAUGAAUCGACGGUCGUGAUUCAUUGAAGAAAAUCAAUGGCGAAUAUCAAACAUCAGAAAAAUGGAAUCAAAGCCAUGAAAAUCAAUGGCUGCGAUUUUCGCUAAUGAUGAAGAUGAUGAUGUUGCAGCGAAUUAAAGGCCACGAUUUUGCUGAUGAAUGAUGUUGAUGCGAUGAAGAUCGACGACCAUGGACCAUGGAUGAUGCGUGAUGAUGCAGCGAAGAAGAUGGAGAAAUAGAGGAGGGUCUGAUACCUUUGGUUUUGUUUUUUUACCUUUUUCAUUUUCUUUCUUCCCUUUUUGUUUUCUACUGUGACUUUACUUCACAGUAUUCACCACACGUUUUCUUUUUGUUUCUUUACUUACUUUUCCUUUUUCUUCCUUUUCCUUUUAUUUCUUUCUUUGUUUUAUAUUUUAUAUUUUCUUUCCUUUUUAAUUAGGAGGAGUAUAAAUAUCUUAAGUCAUCUUUUUAGAGGGGAGUUUUUCAUUAGCCUAGUUUUAUUAUUUUUUCACCACUCUUAGUUUUUUUUUAGGAUUUUUAGGGUUUUAAAGAGGUUUAACCUCCAUAGUUUAGUUUAGGGAGAAAAAGGGGGAAAUCUCAAAGAAAGAUGGAGAUUGUAGAUUCAAGAGUGACACUUGUAUUGAAACUUUCAACCAUUAAUCAAUGAGCAUUUCUUACUCUAUCUCCUCUUUUAUUGUUUUAUUUUCAUUGUUUUUCUUAGAUUAGUUGUUCUUGAUUAGUUUAAUUAUUUAUGAUUUAUUUUAUUUAGUUUAAUGUUAGAUUAAUGAUUAUUAUCAUGUUAUUAAAGUUUAAUUUCUCUAAAGUCCUCAUUUUUGUAUUUAUGGAGUAAUUUGUUGGUUAGGGUUUGGGUGAAAACCCAACCAUGAUUGAAUUGGGCAUUUGAAAUUGGAUUUAGAGAUUUGUGUGAUUAAAUUAUUGCUUGUUUAGCUCUUCUAAUCUAUGUUGCAUUCUCUUUGAUCACUUGAAUGUCGUAUUAGACGGAGUUGAUUGAUUUAGGUUGGCAUGAGAGUGUGACCUAUUGAUUUCUAUUAUUGACUUGGGUUACCUUGAACCUCGGGAUAUGUUAGUAAUGGAUGAGAGUCCUUAUUUGAUGUCUUUGAGGAUUUCUCCGCCUAUGAGAGUAGGAUGGGAGUUGUGUGUUGGGUCAAUAGCUAAUUCAAGUAGUGUUCAUGUAUUAUCUCUAUGUUUGAUAUUCUUAUGCCUAUUUCAUGAUUAGUUGGUGUUUAAUCCCAUCUCCUAACUUUAGUUACUUUGAUAUUUAGCUUUUUCGUAGUUCUUAGUUGGUUAUUGACAAUUUCCGACUUGAUUCCGGCCUAGCUUAUUGUUUUAUCAAUACAUUUUGGUGUUCCUUAUUCCCUGUGGAUUUCGACCCUUACUUAUCACUUUACUUAGUUUAGUGACUUAGUUAGGUUUUGUUUGAUUUUAGGAGGCUAGUAACGACCUAGUUUUUCCUAUGUCAAAGAGCAAAUGUCUGAACCUCCCUAGACCCUGCAAUUUCUUUUUCUUCACUAUACAUAUAUUUAAAGACUCAAUGACUCAGCACUCACAAGUUGCUGGCAGAUCUUCAUAAAAUAUUGUCCUAUUUUUGGCUUUAACUCAGCUAUUAAAUUGCACUUAUAUGAUUGUAUCAUUCUGUGCAGAUGUUGUGUUAAAAGAAGUGUAUACCAUAAUAGGAAAGGUGAACCAUACUUCAUUUUGCUGCAACAUAAAGCCUGCAAGUCAGUGUUAUUAUGCAGCUGGAAUUCUAUCUGAUCUGAUUGUUAGAAUGUUAGUGUGUGUUGGUCAUCACAGAAGGUCUUUUAGGUUCAAUUUUAAUGCAAUUUCAUCUUGUAUGUGGCUAGAUGCAAAGGAAUGUAGAAAAAACCUCACAACAAUUAUUAAUUAGAGAACUUUACAGUCCCGUAUAUGUGGCAUCACAAAUCUAACUAAUAUAGAAGAAUACAAAUUGAUAUUGGUGGAUCUUGCUGAUGAAAGCUUAGGUUUAUAUUGUCUAGUUUGGCUCUCUUAUUUUCCUGUUUGUUUUGGCAUCUACAGGGACUGCUUUGACAUCUUAAUUGCUUUUGCAGGGAGAGCAGGGCAACUGAUACAGAAUCACUUUGUGUCCUUGUGGGAAAACUAGUAUGGUCCAUUCGUAUUGAUCUUCACAUACUAGAUAAUGGAGGGAAUCUUGUUGAUGCCGCAAAUGUUGCUGCUUUGGCAGCCCUUUUGACCUUUAAGAGGCCAGAGUGUAGUCUGGGGGGGAAGAUGGGCAAGAAUUAACAGUACAUCCACCUGAGGCUCUAUUAAUAAAUCUAGGGAGAGUAAAUGGAGAUCAUCAAAUCAACAUUAGCGAAACCAAUUCUAUUCCUGAAGGAGUACAGAUGGUGGAAGGAUGUUCUAAGAGAAAGGACAGAAGAAUAGGAAAGAAGGUAACAUAAGUGGAGCAAAAACAACUAUAGUAAUAGUAGUAGUAGUUGCAUAGUAAUAGUACUAGUAACAGUCAUAUAAUCAUUAUUAUUAUUAAAUCUUGCUAACUUCUACAGUAAGGCAUCCUAAACAGGGAGAGUGGAAACAGCUCAGACUCGAAAUGUACAAUCCAUCAUAACUCGAAAUGUACAGUAAUAGCAGAUGCAACAAGAUUGUAAUAAGAGCUUUUAGGCUUUAGCUGUACCGAAUAUGGACUUGGACUUGAACUUGAACUUGUUGUUGUAUUAUGGACUAUUGAGAACUACAUAUAUAUUGAUAUGCUGUAUGAAAUUGUUUAUCGUCAGGAUCAGGUGGCAGAGUUGAAGUUGCUACAGUUUUAUAGAGCAGAUGAAGAGAUCUUGUUUUAUGUGGUAUCUAAUUUGUACAUUGAACAUUUUAGUUGAGAGUGUAAAGAUUUAGCCGCUGCAGAGCUUAGUUGGUGCAGAAAAUGUCAAAUAGUGAUAUGGUAGUGUAGAUACAUCAUACUGUGUUCUUAUUAUUGAGACAUGUGGUAUUUCAGAAAUUGCAAGGUGCAUUACGUGAUAUCUGGUGUUAACGUUACGCGCUUCCCUACACUUUUAGCAA